rnacentral:tRNA from 1 species
GGCUGUAGCUCAGUGGUAAAGUGCUUGCCUCGUAUGUGUAAGGCACUGGGUUCGAUCCCCAGCACCA